AGGGUUAUAAUUUAUUUAAAAUAUUUGAUUUGCAUUCAAAAAAAGUCAUUGACUUACCUUA
rnacentral:tRNA from 1 species